rnacentral:tRNA from 1 species
GGAGAGGUGCAGGAGUGGUUGAACUGGAUCGCCUGCUAAGCGAUUAUGGCGAAAGCCAUCGUGGGUUCGAAUCCCACCCUCUCCG